UACGUAGGGUGCAAGCGUUAUUCGGAAUUACUGGGCGUAAAGCGCGCGCAGGCGGUUUUGUAAGUCCGUUGUGAAAUCCCCGGGCUUAACCUGGGAAUGGCGAUGGAGACUGCGAGGCUAGAGUUUGGCAGAGGGGGGUAGAAUUCCACGUGUAGCAGUGAAAUGCGUAGAGAUGUGGAGGAACACCGAUGGCGAAGGCAGCCCCCUGGGUUAACACUGACGCUCAGGCACGAAAGCGUGGGGAGCAAACAGG
rnacentral:rRNA from 1 species